rnacentral:lncRNA from 1 species
AGAUGACAAGAUGAGGCCCGCAAUAGAUCUUGCAAGGUCAGGGGCGUAACUGCGAAUCUGAGGUUGAAAACAGUUUCAGACUUGGAGUCUAUUGUGGAGACAUAAAUUACUAGAUAAGAGGUAUUCUCAUUUUCGAAAUGCCUAAACAAUAUUUGUGAAUACCACUUAUUGACACAAAUGACAACAAAAUAGAUAGAAGACUUAUGCUCGGUUUGUUUUACACUGUGGAAAAUAUUUUUCACAUGUUUUAGCAUUUGGGAACUAAAAAAUUUUUAAUUAAUGGAAAAUAUUUUUUUAUUAAAUAAAAAAUAAGGUCAAUUAAAGAAAAUAACUUCUUUUUUCAAAAAAAAAAAAAUUGCACUUAGAAAUCUUAUUAGUCGUAUAUUUUAUUUUUUAAAAUUAAAGCCAAAUAAUAGAAAAUAAACUAUUUUGAUAGAAAGUAUUUUCCGGAAAAUUACUUUCAAAUAUAAAUUAUUAAUAUGACUAUGCAGUUUGGAAAUAAAUGCCAAAUAAAAUGGAACAUAUUACAUGCCUUCUUGUUCUGCAAUAACUGUUCAUUAACGCAACGAAUAAGAGAGAGAGAGAGAUUGAUGUACCUUGAGGGCAUUUGCACUUAGCAGAAUUCCAGCAUGUUUCUCCUUCAAAUCAUCCAUUGCAUGUUUAAUUGCUCUUUUAAUUAGACAACGAUCUGUUUGAGUCCUAGGCCUUGCUGGGGGUAUUGUGUUCUUGGCAAUAAGUCAAGAAAAGUGUAGCAAAACAGCAAUGAAGAAUCUAAGAGAAAGGUUUAAGUGAAGAUAAUGAAGCAUACAAUUCACUGAAAUUAUUGGAUAUUGCUUGUGGUAGCUGUGGAGGACCAUAGUUAAACGAGUAUGAGGGGGUAAGUUCUCCCAUCCUAGCAAGUCACCUUCUCGAUCCACAAUGUUCCCCCCAGCCAAACCAUAAAUUUUCCAGUCAAUGCUUGUCAAUGCAUUUAGGAUUGAUUCCGAAAUUGGGCAAGGUUUGUAAUCUUCGAAGUAUAAUACCUAGAAAUGAAUGUAGCAUCGUAAAAUGCAUUGAAGAAAAGAAACAAAUUUUAUAAACAUCAAACAACAUUUAUGUACCAUAAGAGGGGAAAAAUGAAUAAGCAAUUAGCAAUGUUUCAAUAUUUAUCAAAUUCCCAAAAACCAGUGUUCAGAUUUACUAGCAUUUCAUAAAAUAAAAUUUGGAGAAAAAAUUGACAUUACUUGAGGUAUCUCCCUCAAGCCCCCUGGCUUUAGUUUUGAUGUUUUCUUGAUUGAAUCUAGAUCAUCAAAUUCAGUUCGAUGAACACAAAAUGUAGAGUUGUAGCCCCGCUAGACAUAUAAUUUGAUGUUCCAACAGUCAAUGCUUUGAUAACAUCCAAUCAUUAGACAUUUUUAAACAACCCAUAAAAGUAUGCUUAGAAGUCUCAAACACGCAUUGUGAGUACACACUACCCUGAGAGUCACAUGUGCUCUUAAAAACAGUUAAUAAUGUUAGGCCCAAAAGAAUGAAAACUACAAAUGAUUGUGUUAGCAAUCUUAUCCAGAUUUACAAGACAUUUAUUCGUAGAAAGAAAAAGGGGAUGCAUGCCAAACAAGUCACUAAUGCAGUUGAGUAAAACUAGCACCAUAUGCCCAUGUCCCACUUGCUAGAAAUGUUGUCUCCUAUGUGUUAAUAAUGCUGUUAGUGUUAAUAAUUCUUUCAUUCUUUAUGGCAUUCUUAAUUGUAGGAGGGUGAUUUUCUAUGUUUUAUCAUACUAAUAACUUUCUUCAAAUAAAGAGGUUACCUCUUCCCAGUUCAGUUGAGUCAAUAAAGGAGAUAUAAUUAAUUUGCCAAAAGUUAUUGAGUACUCAACUCAAGAGAUUUACGAGUUCUCUCUUAAUGUGCUUGUGUUAUAGUUAUCAUAGGUCGAAAAAAGAAGAACACUACCUCUCCAUCAGCCAUUAAUCCUCAACUCCACCCACUCGCCCCAUAACUAGAUCCACUAUCCGAAACCCUAACAGAUAGUCACGGUCACGGUCAUGUUCAAUUUCUGUACUUAGCAGCCACAUGUAGUAUUAAUUUAAUUUUGCCAAUUCUCUCUUUAAAUAAGGAACUUUCCUUUUACUGAAACUUCUUAGCAAAGUAAUCUGAUAACAUUAUAAAUAGAAAAAGAAAAUAAUAAAGAAGCAGGAAAAAAGAGAGGAUAAAUGAAAUAGACCUCUGUUGUCGAGAAGCAUUCCUUAAAUAAAGGACAAGUUGGAUCUAACUCGCUUAAUAUAAUUACCACUUCCACCAUCAGCCCAGAUCUAGAACUCUUAUGGCUUUCUAGGGUGCAUGCGGUUCCACUCCCAACCUUGAGAUUGUCCCUAACAAGAAAUUGAGAGAGAAAGUGAAACAAUUCCAACAUACUUCUUUAUGAAAAUGCGUUCAAUUUUCGCUCAAAAUAAAUUGUAAAGGAAGGUUUAACGUUGAUAAUAACCUUACUAAAAGCAAAACAAAGCAAUCCAAUUUAAUAAAUAAAGAAGUCUUUGAUCUCAAUCAGAAUUCAACAGUUUUACUGCAGUGGUAAAACUUCUUCAGGAAUUCACCAAUUCCUGGCAAGUUGUCCUGCUGAUACCUUAUCAACUGUGAUAGUAUUUGUAAUGCUAUCUCAAGUCAUUGAAUUGACUCACACAUUUGCAGAGUUGUAUGCAAUGCAAAUAUUGAAUCAGAAAACUUCUAAUUCUGAAUCAGAAAAUCAUUAAUGUUCAUUAAUUGAGAUGUGAACCAUCACACAGACUUCUUUGUGAAUGCAGUGAGGUCCCGUUAUGAACAGGAAGCUUGCAUGGACAAGCUUACCAAGUUGAGAAGCAUGACUUGCAAUUUUGUGUUGAUCUAUGUCCAUGCUUU